rnacentral:lncRNA from 1 species
GCCAGCUCUAUGAAUUUUUGCAGUUUACCUCAGCUCACCCGUAUAGUAGUUUUAUAUUCACUAUUAAGCACCUUGCUCACUAUUAAAAUAUGGCCUCUUCUCUCUCCUUUCCACUCUUUCACUUCACCAUUCAACCUGUUUGCAGCUCCAUAUUAUAUUUGCUCUAAGUUAUUAGAUUACUGGUUAGAAAUGAACAACACUAAUAAUAAAAUAUUAAAAGACAAGAAUCAUGUUAUUAAUUAUUACUAUUUCCCAGCCCCCAGAUAAAUGCAAAUUCUCGAUUUGCCCUCUGAAGCAAACCAUUCAUUUAACUUUGAUCAAAUUUGUAAAAAAAAAGUGUAGCAACAUUUGUAACUCUUGUAACACCCAA